GUAAAACUAAACGAUUUAUUUUAUACAAAAUUUAAUAUUUCCAGGCAUUAUUGAGUCUUUGGAAAAUCGCUGAUAAAUCUUUUGUGAUAAAAAAGUUCGCGAUACUUUAAUGCGCGUUGCAUAGAGAGAUAAACUUGUUUCCGCAACAAGUAAUGUUUUUUAUCUUCAUCAGUAUGCAGGUGCCAUCAUAUAGUGAUUUUGCUAUCGUGACGAUAGUAAAUACUGGUGAACUCGGAGGUCCCCCCGGUCUCCAGGAAAGGACCAGGAGGUAUGUCGGAUUCUUACCGACUAAAACCCCCUAUAGAAAUGACCUUACUCGGCGCAUACUGGGAAUCUGGCAUCUCUACUUUCAGGGAGAGACUCGUGUGUCUGCAAAUCGCGUAGAUACACUGUCACGCAUGAGAUAAGUUGCGUUAUCCAUAAAAUAUGAUGCAUACCAAUAAUAUUCAGUACAAUAUAAAAUCUAGCUUAAAAAACUUGGACGAAAAUGGACAUGUAAUGAUAUUUAAAGACAUAUUUGGAAUAAAUUCUCAAAAUAAAUUUCCAAAUAAUUUUAAUGUCUGGACUGUAAGAAGGCAACAUGAUUAGAUAAAAAGGAACAUAACAGAAUUCUUUCCAAGCAUGCCGCAGUCUUAACAGACCAUUAUUCCAGCAGUCUUUUGUCAAUUAAAUUAUGACCGAUCCCUGGAAGAAUUACCUGAAUGGAUAGAUAUAGAUGAAUAUCGCAGGGGACAAAAAUUUGUCCAGAAAAAUUACACCGCAAUCAUCAUGUCCAAAAUAAUGGGCCUGAUGUAUAUUUAUACAUUUCAAGAACAAUUAAGCCCAAUUAUUUUGGGAAAACGUAGCCAUACGCCGUAUUUAGGAUUCCAAAAGUCCAUAUCGCCUGUAAAACGAUUGUUCAACUGGUAUAGUGGAGAGCCUUGCGGGUUAAGAGAACUGAAGGUUACAAGGAUAUGCAAGUAGUACGUGGUAUAAUUUUUGCCGUGGCAGCCUCGAGGAAAUAAAACAACGCAUGAAUAAUCUUUAUCAAUAUUAGAUAAUACAAAAUUUUAAGGAGUUGGCACCAGAAUGGAAGUACACAACGAGGUGUCUUGUUGAGCAUAUAAACUAUUGGCCUGUAAUGUAUAUGCGUUGAAGCGAUGAUAUUAAUCGCCAUACAGACUCGUUAAAUCUAAAUAUGCUUAAUUUAUACGCGUCACUUAAUUACACAGAGUGGAUCGUCUAUAAGAUCUACAAAUAAAGUAUAGAUAAAGAACUACAAGAAAAACAUCCUAGAUAUCAAACCCAUAAGUGAAAAAAUUUACAUCCUGAGGUUUAAAACGAGGUUCUUCAACACAUCCAUAAUAAACUUUCACGCAGAAACAAAGGAAAAAGAUGACCCAACGAAAGAAAGCGUUUAUCAAGAUCUGGAACGAGCAUUUGACUCAGCAUAUGUAACGAGCAUAUGAGCAAAUUUCUCAGGUGGAGAAACCGCAGCGAAAUCCUUCAGAACCAAUUCACGAUCUAGACACCAUGGAUUUGCGAAUGUGCACGCAGCAGCAAUUUGCUCAUGAUCCAUCUGACACAUCUUGUUUCUUAUCGUCAAAUACUUACCACGUACUACUUGCAUAUCCUUGUAAGCUUCAGUUCCCCUAACCCAAAGCUCUCUACCAUACCAGUUGAACAAUCCUUUUACAGACGAUAUGGACCUUUGAAAUGUAUAAAAUAUAUUUAUCAGAAUGUAUACAGUUACUUAUUACUUAUAUGUUUAUAUAAAUACAAUAUUUUAGAAAGAUAAUUACUUUUAAAAUUCUAAAUACGGCGUAUGGCUACAUUUUCCCAAAAUAAUUGGGCUUAGUUGUUCUUGAAAUGUAUAAAUAUACAUCAGGCCCGUUAUUUUGGACAUGAUAAUCGCGGUGUAAUUUUUCUGGACAAAUUUUUGUCCCCUGCGAUAUUUAUCCAUAUCUAUCUAUUCAGGUAAUUCUUCCAGGGAUCGGUCAUAAUUUAAUUGACAAAAGGCUGCUGGAAUAAUGCUCUGUAAAGACUGCGGCAUGUUUGGAAAGAAUUCUGUUAUGUUUCUUUUUAUCCAAUCAGCUUGCUUUUUACAGUCCAGGCAUCAAAAUUAUUUCGAAAUUUAUUUUGAGAAUUUAUUCCAAAUAUGUCUUUAAAUAUCAUUACUUGUCUAUCUUUGUCCAAGUUUUUCGAGCUAGAUUUUAUAUCGUACUGAAUGUUAUUGGUAUGCAUCAUAUUUUAUGGAUAACGCAACUGUAACAUAAGUACUAAACACAAAUUUAUUGUAAACUUGUAAGUUUGAUUUGUUACGUCCCGGAAA